CGCGCCACUGCACUCCAGCCUGGGCAACAGAAGCAAAACUCCGUCUCAAAAAAAAAAAAAAAAAAAAAGUUUAUGAACCACUAGUUUAGACAAAGAAUAGUUGUACAGUUGUACAGAUGGAUAAGGAAGGAAAGAACAUUCCAGGCAAAGAGAAAAGGUUAUGCAAUGGCUGAAAUGUUUAACAAGGUAUUUGGAGACCUUGAGAUAGUUUGAAAUUAUGUAAUGUCUAAGAUGUGGGCCAAGAGAAAAUAAAGGAAAAUAUCACAGGAUAAUAGAGGAGUAAAGUAAACUAUGCUGUAUUAACUCCAUAUUAGGCAGCCAGUAAAAAUAAAUACAACCACCAAAAGUAACUCAGAAAUAUGUUUAGGAAACAAUACUAAUUGAAAAAUAUAGAACUUCAGGUUGUAUAUCUACCAUAUUUCCAAUCUGUAAAAUAUAAGUACAUUUGGAUCAAGAUUGGAAAGGAAGACAAAUUAGAAUAACUCGUCAAUAACAUAUUUAAAUAUAAAUGAAAAUAUUUAAAUGUCUUUGCUUAGUAUUUUUAUAAUAAAUUUCUAUUUUUUUACUUUUAUUUAUCUUUUAAUCUCACUGUUAUCCAGGAUGGAGUGCAGUAGCACAGUCAUAGCUCACUAUGGCCUUGAACUUCUGGGCUCAAGCAGUCCUCCCACCUCAGCCUCCUAAGUAGCUGGGAUUACAGGUGUAAGCCACUGUACCCCACCUCUGUGUUUGAUUUUAAGGGGAAUUGGCCCAAAAAAUAACAUUUAUAUUAUUUCUUCACUAUGAUUCACAUGUCCCUCAGAAGCCUCUAAUUACAAUGGAAUUCUUAAAAAAAAUUCACAUUUCUCAGCAAAGCUUUCCAACGAAAAUUUUUAUGAUAAUCCUUUGUCAUAUAAGUUAAAAUAGUAAAACUAGACAAUAGUGAGUAAGUAUUAUAUUUGAGACACCUGCUAGGCAUCUGAUAUAAGGUGGAUGAGAGGAUCAGUGUCCUUUGGGAGUUUACCCUCUAGGGAAGCAACUACAUGAAAAGUUAAAUAAAUUAUAAAAAUCACAUUUUGAAUUGAUAAAAGUUAUGAGACAGAACAUAAUUUGGUUUUUAUUUAUUUUUUUGAGACAGGGUCUCACUUUGUCCUCCAGGCUGGAGUGCUGCGGCCUCAACCUCCCAGGUUCAAGGGAUCCUGCUGCCUCAGCCCCCCAAGUAGCUAGGACUACAAGGGUGCACCACCACACCCAGCUAAUUUUUGUAUUUUUUGUAUAAAUGGGGUUUCGCCAUGUUGCCCAGACUGGUCUCAAACUCCUGGGCUCAAAAUCUGCGUGCCAUGGCUUCUCAAAACGCUAGGAUUACUGGCGUGAGUCACCAUGCCUGGCCUAUAAUUUGUUAAUAUGGUUGUUACUACAAAGUUUAAAAUAAAUUGCCCAUGCAUUCCUAUUUAUAAUAGGUGAGUGGAGGACACUUCAAUCUAAAGUGAUCUUAAAGGAGGAGUAGUAGGAUUUGAAGAUGAAGAAAGAAGAGGGGAGGUUAAAAAAUGGAGGCAACAGCUGGGUACAGUGGCUCACUCCUGUAAUUCCAGCACUUUAGGAGGCCAAGGUAGGCAGAUCACUUGAGAAAAAGAGUUCGAGACCAGCCUGGGCAACAUAGUGAGACCCUCUCUCUCAAAAAAAAUAGCCAAGUGUGAUGAUGGACACCUGUAACCCCAACUACUUCAGAGACUGAGGCAGGAGGAUCACUUGAGCCUAGGAGGUCAAGGCUGCAGUGAGCUGUGAUUGGGCCACUGCACUCCAGCCUGGGUGACACAGAGAGACCUCUCUAAAAAAUAAAAAAAUAAAAAAAAUGGAAGCACAGAAAACUAUACCUUUUCUAGCUCAACUUUACCACAUUGAUGAAAAAGUAUUGAGCAGCCACAGGUACAUGACAUUCCACUAUGUUCUUGGGAUAAUAUUAAAGAAAAGGCAUGAAGGUAUGCUCUGAGCAGGCAAGAGAAGUCACAUAAAAUGAGAGUAAUUUAUAAUGUGAUUUUUUCCCAUGGUCCUUCUUUUUCUCAUUUAACUGUUUACUCCUUUAUAUGUUAUAGCAAUUGUUGUUUAAUAAUUGCAUUAAAAUAAAUAGAUGCCUUGGACACUGAUACUCUUGGA
rnacentral:lncRNA from 1 species